rnacentral:lncRNA from 1 species
UGAAGGAAAGUUAUACUGUUUUUUUUUUUUUUUUUCUUUUUAGGUUCUUAUACACAGUGACAGCUAGCAGAAUCUAAAGUGCUGACAUUAUGACUUAGAGAUGUGAUAAAGAGAAACAUCUAUUGCAUUUUCUGUUUGCCUAGCAUCCAGUCAGAGAUGGGUAAAUAACAAGGACAGAACCAUGGAACUCCAGCGGUCUCACUUAGGAGGCCCAUACUAA